UACAGAGGUCUCAAGCGUUGUUCGGAUUCAUUGGGCGUAAAGGGUGCGUAGGCGGCGCGGUAAGUCGGGUGUGAAAUCUCGGAGCUUAACUCCGAAACUGCAUUCGAUACUGCCGUGCUUGAGGACUGGAGAGGAGACUGGAAUUUACGGUGUAGCGGUGAAAUGCGUAGAUAUCAAGAGGAACACCUGCGGCGAAGGCGGGUUGCUGGGCCGACACUGACGCUGAGGCGCGAAAGCCAGGGGAGCGAACGGG
rnacentral:rRNA from 1 species